UCCAGACUCCUACGGGAGGCAGCAGUGGGGAAUAUUGCACAAUGGGGGAAACCCUGCUGCAGCAACGCCGCGUGAGUGAAGAAGUCAUUCGUGAUGUAAAGCUCUCUCAGCAGGGAAGAAAAUGACGGUACCUGAGUAAGAAGCCCCGGCUAACUACGUGCCAGCAGCCGCGGUAAUACGUAGGGGGCAAGCGUUAUCCGGAUUUACUGGGUGUAAAGGGAGCGUAGACGGCCAGACAAGUCUGAAGUGAAAAUCCAGCGCUUAACGUUGGAAGUGCUUUGGAAACUGCCGGGCUGGAGUGCAGGAGGGGGAGGCGGGAUUCCUGGGGUAGCGGUGAAAUGCGUAGAUAUCAGGAGGAACCCCGGGGGCGAAGGCGGCCUGCUGGACCGCGACUGACGUUGAGGCUCGAAAGCGUGGGGAGCGAACAGGAUUAGAUACCCUGGUAG
rnacentral:rRNA from 1 species